GGUCGGCUAGCUCAGUCGGUUAGAGCAAUCGCUUGAUAAGCGAUAGGUCCCCAGUUCGAGUCUGGGGCUGACCA
rnacentral:tRNA from 1 species